AUUGAACGCUAGCGGCCGGCCUAACCCAUGCAAGUCGGGCGAGCGUCGGACGGGUGAGUAAUGUAUGGGGACUGCCUGAUGGCUGGGGCUGACUACUGGAAACGGUAGCUAAUACCGCAUACCAGCAAAUAACCCAUAUGUGAUUAGCUUGUAGGUGAGGUAACGGCUCACCUAGGCGACGAUCCCUAGCUGGUCUGAGAGGGUGAUAAGCCACCCGGGGAAUGAGACACGGCCCAGACUCCUACGGAGGCAGAAGUGGGGAAUAUUGCACAAUGGGCGCAAGCCUGAUGCAGCCAUGCCGCGUGUAUGAAGAGGGCUUUCGGGGUGUAAAGUACUUUCAGUCGGGAGGCGUUACCGACAGAAGAAGCACCGGCUAACUCCGUGCCAGCAGCCGCGGUAAUAC
rnacentral:rRNA from 1 species